GAAAGCAUUGCAUGUGGUCUGUGCAAUUGGGGAUCAUAGCAAACUGUGAAGGUUUCUCCUCCUCAUUUGGCUUUUCAGCUUCUUAAGAUGAAACCAGCCAGCUAAUGGCUGUUUCCAUGUGGGAAACAGAGCCCACCUGACACAUGCAUGCUUGCAAAGUGUGCAUUUUUCCAGUUAUAGUGUGGAUUUAACCCCUGUAACUUGUUCCACUUUGCCAGUUAUCCAGUAAACAUCAAAAAUUGCUGCCUUGAGAAUUAUAACAGCAUCUGGCACAUCAGCUCAAGCACAGUUAACCUGGCAGCUGUGUGCAGGGACUGCCUUGGCAGGCGCAGAGCAAAUCUUGGAGUUCAAGCCACACUGAGGAGUUUGCCUUGUGCAGAAAGCAGCUGUAAUUGGCUGCAGAAGAUAAAAGGUGGCGUUGUGGUGAGGCUCCCCGGGAUGCAAAGGUGGAAAAUGGUGUAGUGGAAGGGAAAAGGCAACCCCGACCGCCCUCUGGUGGGUCUCCAGCUCACAGGGCCCGGGAUCCGGGAUCCUGCUGCCGCAGGGAGGUCCAAGGCCACCUUCUCAUCUCCUGCCCUGCAGAGCUUCCUGGGCUGGAGCUAAAUGAAGGUGAUGAUGGUAAGAAAAAUAAAGUGAUGUUUGCCAGCAAAUGUGUGAGCGGCAGGACAGAUGCCUCCAUGCUGGUCCUUGGCAGAUGGUCCUGGGGAAUUAUUGACUUGAUCCAGAAUGAGUGACAAGUCCUCCCUGACUUGCUUGUCCAGGAAUUCUUCAACUGCUGCAUCAACACUUGUCUUCCAAAGCACUGAUCUUCUUGUAGCAAGCAUUCACUUUGGGGGAACCUCUCCUGCUGCAGGACAGUGAUGUGGAACACAACACAGCAGCAGACAAGAGGUGCACUUACCCCACUGGAAUAUCCCUUCUCAUGUCUCACAGCUGUCCCUGAACAGAGACAUUUCUGGAUCCAAUGUAUGGAAAAGCAAACUGUUGUAUGGCUGUAUAGGAACUCUAAAUCCAGUUAUUAGAUUGUCAUAAUCUGUGGAAAGAAGGGAAAAUAAAGCACAAACUAUGAAAUAGCCUCCUCUUGAA
rnacentral:lncRNA from 1 species